GACGAACGCUGGCGGCGUGCUUAACACAUGCAAGUCGAGCGAUGAAGCUCCUUCGGGAGUGGAUUAGCGGCGGACGGGUGAGUAACACGUGGGUAACCUGCCUCAUAGAGGGGAAUAGCCUUCCGAAAGGAAGAUUAAUACCGCAUAAGAUUGUAGUACCGCAUGGUACAGCAAUUAAAGGAGCAAUCCGCUAUGAGAUGGACCCGCGUCGCAUUAGCUAGUUGGUGAGGUAACGGCUCACCAAGGCGACGAUGCGUAGCCGACCUGAGAGGGUGAUCGGCCACAUUGGGACUGAGACACGGCCCAGACUCCUACGGGAGGCAG
rnacentral:rRNA from 1 species